CUGAGUACCGUAGGAAGCCCAGGAAAUUUCAUAAUCGCUUGAAAGGUAAUGUCCGCGCACAGAGUACCGUAUUAGCGCCCGUUUUAAGAGCAUAUGGAAGGGCUAUGGAGUUAAGAAAAGAGAGGCGCCAAAUGCCAGCCAGCGCCCCGAUUAUCGUUUUAGCCUAAUGGGGUGCCAAUUCGUGGUAAAGGCGUACGAGGAAAGUAGGCGAUGGCGAGGUGCGUCCGCAAGACACGGAAAUCCAAGCACUGCUUGACUGGACUCUGGUGUUUCAUGUUCCUAACCUCGUGCCGUGACUGUCUCAUCCCGCAGUCCAAGCUUUCCACUACAAUCCCGUAACCUAAAUGGCUGGGCGCUGCGAAUCCACGAUGCUGUCAGGUGCUGGUCCGGUUGUCCCGGUGACGGCACAUCGGCCUCCAAGGGCCGCCAGUGCGUCGUCAUGGCGCCUCCGUACCUCCCUGCCACUGGCUUGGGUUUCAUGCCGUGCCGCUGUGGCGGGCUCAACUACUGUGCGGCGGUUUGGACACGCCCUCGCCGAACGUGUGUGCACUUCAGCCUAGUUUUUAGGGCCCUGUUCCCUCCUAGCAGCCCCUGUUCCACGAGAUCAAGGCAGCCUUGCCAAAACGCUUAUGUGUGUGGCGAGGCACGC
rnacentral:lncRNA from 1 species